rnacentral:rRNA from 1 species
GACGAACGCUGGCGGCGUGCUUAACACAUGCAAGUCGAACGGAAAGGCUCCAGCUUGCUGGAGUACUCGAGUGGCGAACGGGUGAGUAACACGUGGGUAAUCUGCCCUGCACUCUGGGAUAAGCCUGGGAAACUGGGUCUAAUACUGGAUAUGACCUUUCUCCUUAUGGGGUUUGGUGGAAAGUUUUUCGGUGUAGGAUGAGCCCGCGGCCUAUCAGCUUGUUGGUGGCGUGAUGGCCUACCAAGGCGACGACGGGUAGCCGGCCUGAGAGGGUGAUCGGCCACAUUGGGACUGAGAUACGGCCCAGACUCCUACGGGAGGCAGCAGUGGGGAAUAUUGCACAAUGGGCGGAAGCCUGAUGCAGCGACGCCGCGUGAGGGAUGACGGCCUUCGGGUUGUAAACCUCUUUCAGCAGGGACGAAGCGUAAGUGACGGUACCUGCAGAAGAAGCACCGGCUAACUAUGUG